UACGUAGGUGGCAAGCGUUGUCCGGAAUUAUUGGGCGUAAAGCGCGCGUAGGCGGGAUGGCAAGUCGGGGGUGAAAGCCCUCAGCUCAACUGAGGAAGUGCGCCCGAAACUACUGUUCUUGAGUGUCGGAGAGGGUGGCGGAAUUCCCGGUGUAGAGGUGAAAUGCGCAGAUAUCAGGAGGAACACCGGUGGCGAAGGCGGUUCUCUGGGCCUUACCUGACGCUGAGGAGCGAAAGCGUGGGGAGCAAACAGG
rnacentral:rRNA from 1 species